rnacentral:rRNA from 1 species
GACGAACGCUGGCGGCGUGCUUAACACAUGCAAGUCGAACGGAGUUACGUAUGAAGUAUUUCGGUACGGACUACAUAACUUAGUGGCGAACGGGUGAGUAACACGUGGGCAACCUGCCCUUAACCGGGGGAUAACAUUGUGAAAACAGUGCUAAUACCGCAUAACAGAGUAUCGGGCAUCCGAUAUUUUUAAAAGGAGCAAUCCGGUUUAGGAUGGGCCCGCGUCCAAUUAGCUAGUUGGUGAGGUAACGGCUCACCAAGGCUACGAUUGGUAGCCGAACUGAGAGGUUGAUCGGCCACAUUGGGACUGAGACACGGCCCAGACUCCUACGGGAGGCAGCAGUGGGGAAUAUUGGGCAAUGGGCGAAAGCCUGACCCAGCGACGCCGCGUGAAGGAUGAAGGUCUUCGGAUUGUAAACUUCUUUGAUCAGGGAAGAAGAAAUGACGGUACCUGAAGAACAAGCCACGGCUAACUACGUG